CACGUAGGGCGCAAGCGUUGUCCGGAAUUAUUGGGCGUAAAGAGCUCGUAGGUGGUUUGUCGCGUUGUUCGUGAAAACUCACAGCUCAACUGUGGGCGUGCGGGCGAUACGGGCAGACUGGAGUACUGCAGGGGAGACUGGAAUUCCUGGUGUAGCGGUGGAAUGCGCAGAUAUCAGGAGGAACACCGGUGGCGAAGGCGGGUCUCUGGGCAGUAACUGACGCUGAGGAGCGAAAGCGUGGGGAGCGAACAGG
rnacentral:rRNA from 1 species